rnacentral:rRNA from 1 species
GUCUAUGGCCAUACCACCCUGAACGCGCCCGAUCUUGUCUGAUCUCGGAAGCUAAGCAGGGUUGGGCCUGGUUAGUACUUGGAUGGGAGAUGUGUUUGGUGAGAACAGUCUGGCAUCUUUC